GACGAACGCUGGCGGCGUGCUUAACACAUGCAAGUCGAACGGUGAAGGGACCGGUUUUUGCUGGUUCUGGAUGAGUGGCGAACGGGUGAGUAACACGUGAGUAACCUGCCCCCCUCUUCUGGAUAACCGCAUGAAAGUGUGGCUAAUACGGGAUAUUCUGCGCCUGCUGCAUGGUGGGUGUGGGAAAGAUAUUGUUUCGGUGGGGGAUGGGCUCGCGGCCUAUCAGCUUGUUGGUGGGGUGAUGGCCUACCAAGGCGGUGACGGGUAGCCGGCCUGAGAGGGUGGACGGUCACACUGGGACUGAGACACGGCCCAGACUCCUACGGGAGGCAGCAGUGGGGAAUAUUGCACAAUGGGCGCAAGCCUGAUGCAGCGACGCCGCGUGAGGGAUGGAGGCCUUCGGGUUGUAAACCUCCUUCGCCAGUGAAGCAGGCCUGUCCCUUUUGUGGGUGGGUUGACGGUAGCUGGAGAAGAAGCGCCGGCUAACUACGUG
rnacentral:rRNA from 1 species